AUUGAACGCCGGCGGCAGGCCUAACACAUGCAAGUCGAGCGGAUGAAGGGAGCUUGCUCCUGGAUUCAGCGGCGGACGGGUGAGUAAUGCCUAGGAAUCUGCCUGGUAGUGGGGGAUAACGUCCGGAAACGGGCGCUAAUACCGCAUACGUCCUGAGGGAGAAAGUGGGGGAUCUUCGGACCUCACGCUAUCAGAUGAGCCUAGGUCGGAUUAGCUAGUUGGUGGGGUAAAGGCCUACCAAGGCGACGAUCCGUAACUGGUCUGAGAGGAUGAUCAGUCACACUGGAACUGAGACACGGUCCAGACUCCUACGGGAGGCAGCAGUGGGGAAUAUUGGACAAUGGGCGAAAUCCUGAUCCAGCCAUGCCGCGUGUGUGAAGAAGGUCUUCGGAUUGUAAAGCACUUUAAGUUGGGAGGAAGGGCAGUAAGUUAAUACCUUGCUGUUUUGACGUUACCAACAGAAUAAGCACCGGCUAACUUCGUG
rnacentral:rRNA from 1 species